UGGGGAAUUUUCCGCAAUGGGCGAAAGCCUGACGGAGCAAUGCCGCGUGGAGGUGGGAAGGCCUACGGGUCGUCAACUUCUUUUCUCGGAGAAGAAACAAUGACGGUAUCUGAGGAAUAAGCAUCGGCUAACUCUGUGCCAG
rnacentral:rRNA from 1 species